UACGUAGGGGGCAAGCGUUGUCCGGAAUCAUUGGGCGUAAAGAGCGUGUAGGCGGCCCGGUAAGUCCGCUGUGAAAGUCCAGGGCUCAACCCUGGAAAGCCGGUGGAUACUGCCGGGCUAGAGUCCGGAAGAGGCGAGUGGAAUUCCUGGUGUAGCGGUGGAAUGCGCAGAUAUCAGGAGGAACACCAAUGGCGAAGGCAGCUCGCUGGGACGGUACUGACGCUGAGGCGCGAAAGCGUGGGGAGCGAACAGG
rnacentral:rRNA from 1 species